AGAUUGAACGCUAGCGGGAUGCUUUACACAUGCAAGUCGAACGGCAGCGGCGGACUUCGGUCUGGCGGCGAGUGGCGAACGGGUGAGUAAUAUAUCGGAACGUGCCCGAGUAGCGGGGGAUAACUACGCGAAAGCGUGGCUAAUACCGCAUACG
rnacentral:rRNA from 1 species